rnacentral:rRNA from 1 species
CUAGAGAAACAACCAGCGACAAACCCGAGCAAGCAGGGGAAGACGGAAAGCAAGCAUGACCCGGAAGGAUUGGGCGAAAAACGUACGAAAAUGCCACGGAAAAACGGCAGCUAAACAGCGAGGUCAACCAAAUAAAAGAAACCGAAACUCAGAGCAGAGCGAACGCGGCAACACGAAUUCCUGAAGGAGGAAACGCGAAGAAAUCAGGAAAAAAAACGGCAGCGAAAACGUGCCCAGGCCGUAAACACACCGACCGACAAACCAGGGAAGCUAGACACCCCCGAAGUCACUACCGCAAACGAUCGAGAAGAGGCA